rnacentral:rRNA from 1 species
UAAUUUAAAGUCUAGCCUGCCCAAUGAUAAUUUUAAUGGCCGCAGUAUUUUGACUGUGCAAAGGUAGCAUAAUCAUUAGUUUCUUAAUUAGAAACUAGAAUGAAAGGUUGAACGAAAAAGUAACUGUCUCUUUAUAAUUUUUUUUAGAAUUUUAUUUUUAAGUUAAAAAGCUUAAAUAAGUUUGAAAGACGAGAAGACCCUAUAGAGUUUAAUAUUUUAUUAAUUAAAUUUUAAAAUAGAAUUAUUAUUAUUUGAUUAAAAAAAGUAUUUGAUUGGGGUGAUUGAAAAAUUUAGUUAACUUUUUUUUUUAUUAAGACAUAUAUAAAUGAUUAAUUGAUCCAUUAUUAAUGAUUAUAAGAUUAAAUUACCUUAGGGAUAACAGCGUAAUUUUUUUUAAGAGUUCUUAUCGAUAAAAAAGUUUGCGACCUCGAUGUUGGAUUAAAAUAAAUUUUUGGUGUAGAAGCUAAAAAAUUAGGUCUGUUCGACCUUUAAAAUUUU